AUUAAAAUAUCCAUCUUCAACAAAGUUUAAUCUAAUAACUGAUGUGGAUUUUUAAGGCAGAUGGGAUUUGAAUCUUUUCACAUUCAUUGAUCAAUUGGUGAAAUAUAAUGUGUUGA